AUGUUCUUGCAUUGCUCUGUCCAAACAAAGAUUUUUCAUUCGUGCUGACAUCUCACAACUCUGUGAUACUGAAGUACAAGUUAAUGUUGAAGCUGUAGAUAAAGAUUCAAAUGAUGUUGAUCUCCUUGACGCACUAAAUUCACUUAACAGUACUCCUUCAUUAGUACCAUUCCCCACAUCUUCCUUGGAAUUUCCACUCAUAUCCAUACUACGUAGUUCUAAUGA
rnacentral:misc_RNA from 1 species